GGGCCUGUAGCUCAGUUGGUUAGAGCACCGAGCUUAUACCUCGGGAGUCGAUGGUUCGAGUCCAUCCGGGCCCA
rnacentral:tRNA from 1 species